UCUUAGAAUUGCAUAGAUAGUAUAAGACUGUCCACAGAUUUAGUUACACUGGGGGCGGGGGAGACAUUCCAUUAAAUAAACGCUUCUUUUUUUUUAAGACCCAUCCUCGCAGAAACGUUAAAAUAGGGUGGGGUAGAGAGCGAGGGCGGAGGCAGAGAGGGGAUAUACGUCUCAGGAUACAGGAAAUACGGAAAGAGCGAAACCCAGAGGAAGCUCGGUUUCCUGGAGGGGACCCGCCGCCAUCUCAGGUCUCUUGGCCUCGCCAGGGCCCACUGGAACGAGCUGACACCCAGGUCCUAUAAUCCUUAUGGGGGACCAACCUUGUACCUCCGGGAGAUCCACGCUCCCACCUGGAAACACGCGGGAAACGAAGCCUCCAAAAAAGCGCUGCCUCCUAGCUCCACGUUGGGAUUAUCCGGAAGGAACCCCGAACGGAGGUAACACCACUCUCCCUUCCACACCUCCUCCAGCAUCACCGGGCCUGAAGUCGCAUCCACCUCCUCCGGAGAAGUAGUACAAUAUACUUCUUCCACCCUAAACCAGUCUAUGAGGGAUUGCAGUAUGACUCCAUUUCCUUGGUGUAUUCGUAAAAUAGUUCACUCAGUGAAGACAAUGAAGAUUAUUGACAUUGCCACCCUGCUUUUUCUGAUGUCCUACACCAGAAAGUUGUGAUUUUUAAGCUUGAACAUCUGGAAGUUCACGGUUCACGUAUUGCUGAAGCCUGGUGUAUUGCUGAAGCCUGGCUUUGCCUCCAUAGGUGGGUUUAUUCUAGGAAUUUUAUUCUUUUUGAUGCAAUAGUGAAUGGGAUUGUUUCCUUAAUUUCUGAUAGUUCAUUGUUAGUGUAUAGAAAUGCAACAGAUUUCUAUAUGUUUAUUUUGUAUGCUGCAACUUUACUGACAGUUGAUGAGCUCUAGUAGUUUACUGGUGGCAUUUUAGGAUUUUCUACAUGUAGUAUCAUGUUAACUGCAAACAGGGAUAGCUUUAUUUCUUCCUUUAGAGCACAAGGGUAUUUUUUAGCUUAGCAUUUUGUUACUCUUUUCCAUUUAAUUGCACUUAAUACAGACAACAUGGUUUACAGGAUACUGAUUAUUUAGUACAUGGUGAGAUAUGCUUAAUGUUUUAAAGAGUGUGAUCAAUUAUUGUUUCAUGUGUGCUUGAAAAUAUUUUGUGUAUUCUAAUUGUUUCAUGUAGUAUUCUGUAAAUGUCUGUUAAACUUAUUGAUUGUAUUGUGUGUCUUCUAUAUCACUAUUAAUUCUGUUUACUACAUCUAUCAAUUAUUGAAACCAAUUUAAACUCUUCCACUGUAGUUGUAUAAAUUCUUAUAGUUUAUAUAUAUUCAAGGGUUUAUUAUUAUGUGCAUACAAGUCUAAAAUAGAUACACCUUUUUAUCA